rnacentral:rRNA from 1 species
AGAGUUUGAUCCUGGCUCAGGACGAACGCUGGCGGCACGCUUAACACAUGCAAGUCGAACGAGUGAAGAGGAGCUUGCUUUUCUGAUCUAGUGGCGGACGGGUGAGUAACACGUGAGCAAUCUGCCUUUCAGAGGGGGAUACCGAUUGGAAACGAUCGUUAAUACCGCAUAACAUAAUUGAACCGCAUGAUUUGAUUAUCAAAGAUUUAUCGCUGAAAGAUGAGCUCGCGUCUGAUUAGCUAGUUGGUAAGGUAACGGCUUACCAAGGCGACGAUCAGUAGCCGGACUGAGAGGUUGAUCGGCCACAUUGGGACUGAGACACGGCCCAGACUCCUACGGGAGGCAGCAGUGGGGAAUAUUGCACAAUGGAGGAAACUCUGAUGCAGCGAUGCCGCGUGAGGGAAGAAGGUUUUAGGAUUGUAAACCUCUGCCUUCAGGGACGAAAAAAGACGGUACCUGAGGAGGAAGCUCCGGCUAACUACGUGCCAGCAGCCGCGGUAAUACGUAGGGAGCGAGCGUUGUCCGGAAUUACUGGGUGUAAAGGGAGCGUAGGCGGGAUCGCAAGUCAGAUGUGAAAACUAUGGGCUUAACCCAUAAACUGCAUUUGGAACUGUGGUUCUUGAGUGAAGUAGAGCUAAGCGGAAUUCCUAGUGUAGCGGUGAAAUGCGUAGAUAUUAGGAGGAACAUCAGUGGCGAAGGCGGCUUACUGGGCUUUAACUGACGCUGAGGCUCGAAAGCGUGGGGAGCAAACAGGAUUAGAUACCCUGGUAGUCCACGCCGUAAACGAUGAUUACUAGGUGUGGGGGGACUGACCCCUUCCGUGCCGCAGCAAACGCAAUAAGUAAUCCACCUGGGGAGUACGACCGCAAGGUUGAAACUCAAAGGAAUUGACGGGGGCCCGCACAAGCAGUGGAGUAUGUGGAUUAAUUCGAAGCAACGCGAAGAACCUUACCAGGUCUUGACAUCGUAUGCAUAGCUCAGAGAUGAGUGAAAUCUCUUCGGAGACAUAUAGACAGGUGGUGCAUGGUUGUCGUCAGCUCGUGUCGUGAGAUGUUGGGUUAAGUCCCGCAACGAGCGCAACCCUUACUGUUAGUUGCUACGCAAGAGCACUCUAGCAGGACUGCCGUUGACAAAACGGAGGAAGGUGGGGAUGACGUCAAAUCAUCAUGCCCCUUAUGACCUGGGCCUCACACGUACUACAAUGGCUGUCAACAGAGGGAAGCAAAGCCGCGAGGUGGAGCGAACCCCUAAAAGCAGUCUUAGUUCGGAUUGUAGGCUGCAACCCGCCUACAUGAAGUCGGAAUUGCUAGUAAUCGCAGAUCAGCAUGCUGCGGUGAAUACGUUCCCGGGCCUUGUACACACCGCCCGUCACGCCAUGGGAGUCGGUAACACCCGAAGCCUGUAGUCUAACCGCAAGGAGGACGCAGUCGAAGGUGGGAUUGAUGACUGGGGUGAAGUCGUAACAAGGUA